rnacentral:lncRNA from 1 species
CUGGACUGGAGGAGGAGAGUUCACCUGACCAUCGAUGCUAGGUGCAAGGAGUUCAUACUGCUUUGGGAUAUGAUACUGCUCCCCGAGCAGCUCAAAAUUAGGUCUGGAUAGAGAAGAAGCCUCCACUUCUGGAUCCGAUGGAGAGUCAUCGUUCGGAUUCCUCGAUGGACUAUCUCGAGAAGAAGAAGCCAUAAAGAUGAAAAAACUGGAGAGAAAUAAAAAGGAUAUAAACCUAAGAAGAAGA